UACGGGGGGGGCAAGCGUUGUUCGGAAUUACUGGGCGUAAAGGGCUCGUAGGCGGCCAACUAAGUCAGACGUGAAAUCCCUCGGCUUAACCGGGGAACUGCGUCUGAUACUGGAUGGCUUGAAUCCGGGAGAGGGAUGCGGAAUUCCAGGUGUAGCGGUGGAAUGCGUAGAGAUCCGGAGGAAGACCGGUGGCGAAGGCGGCCUGCUGGGCAGUUACUGACACUGAGGCGCGACAGCGUGGGGAGCAAACAGG
rnacentral:rRNA from 1 species